rnacentral:rRNA from 1 species
GUGGGGAAUAUUGGACAAUGGGCGAAAGCCUGAUCCAGCCAUGCCGCGUGAGUGAUGAAGGCCUUAGGGUUGUAAAGCUCUUUCAGUGGGGACGAUAAUGACGGUACCCACAGAAGAAGCCCCGGCUAACUUCGUGCCAGCAGCCGCGGUAAUACGAAGGGGGCUAGCGUUGUUCGGAUUUACUGGGCGUAAAGCGCACGUAGGCGGAUCGUUAAGUCAGGGGUGAAAUCCUGGAGCUCAACUCCAGAACUGCCUUUGAUACUGGCGAUCUAGAGUCCGGAAGAGGUGAGUGGAACUCCUAGUGUAGAGGUGGAAUUCGUAGAUAUUAGGAAGAACACCAGUGGCGAAGGCGGCUCACUGGUCCGGUACUGACGCUGAGGUGCGAAAGCGUGGGGAGCAAACAGGAUUAGAAACCCCGGUAGUCC